rnacentral:rRNA from 1 species
GCUACGGGAGGCUGCAGUGGGGAAUAUUGGGCAAUGGAGGCAACUCUGACCCAGCAAUGCCGCGUGAGUGAUGAAGGUAAUUUUAUUGUAAAGCUCUUUUUUUUGGAACGAAUAAAUGACGGUACCAAAGGAAUAAGCUCUGGCUAACUACGUGCCAGCAGCCGCGGUAAUACGUAGGGGGGAGGCGUUGUUCGGAAUGACUGGGCGUAAAGGGUGUGUAGGGGGUUUGCUAAGUUAGAUGUGUAAUACCCAGGGCUUAACGCGGGGGUUGCAUCUAAAACUGUGAGACUUGAGUACUGGAGAGGAUAGUGGAAUUCGUGGUGUAGCGGUGGAAUGCGUAGAUAUUAGGAGGAACAUCAGUGGCGAAGGCGACUAUCUGGACAGCAACUGACACUGAGGCACGAAAGCGUGGGGAGCGAACAGGAUUAGAUACCCGUGUAGUC